CGCUGUGCAAACCCAUGCAAAACUGACU
ensembl:miRNA